CAGCCCAAACUUAAGCCUUCGGGGACCUUCUUUAGCUUAGCUUCAGCUCUGCCCCCUGCAUCAGAAUAGAAAGAGAGAGAGAGAGGAUUGAGCUAAGCAGACUCGGUGGAGAAGAAGAAGAAGAAGAAGAUGAAGAUGAAGGAGAGGUUUGGGGAACCUUCAAGUUUUGCUUGAGCUCUACUCAUGUGACAAAGAGCAGGACGGAACAUAAGAGACUGCAGAGAAAGGGAGACGAACAGAGUUGAGGAAGAAUGGAAGAAGUGCUGGAGGCUACGGUUGGAAUUCCGGUUAGGUAGAUAGUGCCCCGAGCUCAAGAAUCGAUCUUGAAGGGUUUAACAUCCGAAAGAGUUUUGAAGUCACAUAUUUGAGUAGAAUGUAUAAGUAGAGUUUAAGGGUCUGAUAUGAUACCUUCGUAAAGUUCGUUUUGAUAAUCUUGUGAAUGUGUAACGGUGUGGUUCAUUUAUAUGAGGUUACCGGUACGUGUAAAGUCUAGUUUGCUCUAAAUGAUCAAUAUAUGAAUAUUCUUUCGACUUGUGAA